UUAACUUACUAUGUAUUUUAUUUAUUGAUAUGGUUUAUUAUCUGUUUCCUCAUUAGAAUGGGGAACUUUAUAAGGGGAGAGCUUUUUGCAUAUGUUCACUGCUGUCUCCUCAGGGUCUAGAACAGCAAGGAGGCCACCAUAGCUGGACUAUAUUCCGCAAGGGGUGGAGUAGCAGGGGAGAAAGUCAAAAGAGUUAACAGGAAACAGAUCAUUUAGGGCCUCAUAAGUCAAAGUGAGGACUUUGGCUAUUAUGCUGGAAAGACAUGAGUGGACACUUG
rnacentral:lncRNA from 10 species